rnacentral:rRNA from 1 species
AAGUCGAACGAAAGUUUUUAACUUUAGUGGCGAACGGGUGCGUAAUACGUGAGAAUCUGCCUUUAGGAGGAGUAUAACUGUUGGAAACGACUGCUAACACUCCACAUGUCGAGAGAUGAAAUAAUUUAUUGCCUAAAGAUGAGCUCGCGCCUGAUUAGCUAGUUGGUGAGGUAAUGGCUCACCAAGGCCACGAUCAGUAGCUGGUUUGAGAGAACGAUCAGCCACACUGGGACUGAGACACGGCCCAGACUCCUCCGGGAGGCAGCAGUGAGGAAUUUUCCGCAAUGGGCGAAAGCCUGACGGAGCAAUACCGCGUGAGGGAUGAAGGAUUUUGGUCUGUAAACCUCUUUUCUCAAGAAAGAAGUUCUGACGGUACUUGAGGAAUAAGCAUCGGCUAACUCCGUGCCAGCAGCCGCGGUAAUACGGGGGAUGCAAGCGUUAUCCGGAAUCAUUGGGCGUAAAGCGCCUGUAGGUUGUUUAAUAAGUCUGUUGUUAAAGACUAGGGCUCAACCCUAGGAAAGCAAUGGAAACUACUAGACUUGAGUAUGGCAGGGGUAGAGGGAAUUUCUAGUGUAGCGGUGAAAUGCGUAGAUAUUAGAAAGAACACCGGUGGCGAAAGCGCUCUACUGGACCAUUACUGACACUCAGAGGCGAAAGCUAGGGUAGCAAAAGGGAUUAGAUACCCCUGUAGUCCUAGCCGUAAACGAUGGAUACUAGAUGUUGUGCUUUAUGUACAGUGUCCUAGCUAACGCGUUAAGUAUCCCGCCUGGGGAGUACGCUCGCAAGGGUGAAACUCAAAGGAAUUGACGGGGGCCCGCACAAGCGGUGGAGCAUGUGGUUUAAUUCGAUGCAACGCGAAGAACCUUACCAGGGCUUGACAUACUACAGAUUCUUUUGAGAAAAAGAAGUGCCUUCGGGAAUGUAGAUACAGGUGGUGCAUGGCUGUCGUCAGCUCGUGUCGUGAGAUGUUGGGGUUAAGUCCCGCAACGAGCGCAACCCUUAUUUUUAGUUACUAAUUCGUUA